GACGUAGGGUGCGAGCGUUGUCCGGAUUUAUUGGGCGUAAAGAGCUCGUAGGCGGCUUGCUGCGUCGACUGUGAAAACCCGCGGCUUAACCGCGGGCUUGCAGUUGAUACGGGCAGGCUAGAGUUCGGUAGGGGAGACUGGAAUUCCUGGUGUAGCGGUGAAAUGCGCAGAUAUCAGGAGGAACACCGGUGGCGAAGGCGGGAUCUCUGGGCCGAUACUGACGCUGAGGAGCGAAAGCGUGGGGAGCGAACAGGAUUAGAACCGUACCGACAGUCC
rnacentral:rRNA from 1 species